rnacentral:lncRNA from 1 species
CUCGUCUACUGUGGGUAUCUCUAUUCCCUAGGCUAUGACCUAGAAUGUUUUUAAAAAGGAGUCAGUGAGCUGAACAUAAACAUUCAGGACUCUUGGCUUCACUGUGGAUGCAGUGUGGCCAGCUGCUUCCAGUUGCCUGAUUUUCCCACCGUGAUUAAGCAUCUGCUCUAACUACAAGCAACCAAACAGGUUGUUUCUUUCUGAAGUUUCUUUUCCUAGGGUGUUUUGUCAUUGCAAAGAGGAAAAAUAACUCAGACUACGAAGAACCAAUCAAAGGAUUCUCAUAGCACUGCGACCCUUUCUUUUUUGGACCUAAAGAGCUG